rnacentral:rRNA from 1 species
GUGGGCUUGCUGGAGCGCUUCGGCGCACCCAGAUCCCUUUGUGAACUUAUACCUACUGUUGCCUCGGCGUCAGGCCGGCCUCCUCACCGAGGCCCCCCGGAGACGGGGAGCAGCCCGCCGGCGGCCAACUAAACUCUUGUUUCUAUAGUGAAUCUCUGAGUAAAAAAACAUAAAUGAAUCAAAACUUUCAACAACGGAUCUCUUGGUUCUGGCAUCGAUGAAGAACGCAGCGAAAUGCGAUAAGUAAUGUGAAUUGCAGAAUUCAGUGAAUCAUCGAAUCUUUGAACGCACAUUGCGCCCCCUGGUAUUCCGGGGGGCAUGCCUGUUCGAGCGUCAUUUCAACCCUCAAGCCUGGCUUGGUGAUGGGGCACUGCUUCGAGAGGAGCAGGCCCUGAAAUUCAGUGGCGAGCUCGCCAGGACCCCGAGCGUAGUAGUUAUAUCUCGCUCUGGAAGGCCCUGGCGGUGCCCUGCCGUUAAACCCCCAACUUCUGAAAAUUUGACCUCGGAUCAGGUAGGAAUACCCGCUGAACUUAAGCAUAUCAAUAAGCGGAGGAA